AUCGAACAUAUUUUUCAUUGAUAUCGAUUACAUGUCUAUUGCGAUACAUAUCGCUAUCGUUUUAUCGCCCAGCCCUUGUUUGUAUGAUAGUAAGAUCAGUGAUUAAUGUGUUUUUGUUGUAAACUUUUAAUUUUCUCAGUUCGUUGUGGUCUCAGUUUACUCUGACCAUGUUUUCUGCGUUAAAGAAAAUUAUAAGGCUGAUACAAGGACGGACCAUGACUCUGGUCUCACAUGAAUCACGUCCAAUCAUGAUGCAGGUCUAACAUGACUCUGGUCUCACAUGAAUCAAGUCCAAUCAUGAUGCAGGUCUAACAUGACUCAUAUGAAUCAAGUCCAAUCAUGAUGCAGGUCUAACAUGACUCAUAUGAAUCAAGUCCAAUCAUGAUGCAGGUCUAACAUGACUCGCAUGAAUCAAGUCCAAUCAUGAUGCAGGUCUAACUUUUCACUGGUGUUCCUCUGUCAGUACCUCUGUUUCAGAUCAUUAGUGUUAAUCAGUACAUUCACAACAUAAUGUCUGAUCACUAACCAGUGGGUUUUUCAUUUUCCAUGGAUGAUUUAGUGUCUGUUUUCAUUUGGGUGUGAUCUUACUGACAGAUCAUAAUGCAUUCCUAGGAAUCAGGGAUAUUGGCAUUACUAAUUACAUUAAAAUGACAUUACAAAUUAUUAGAUUAUGUUUUACCCCAGGUACUUAUUGUGCUAUGUUGUUGCAAUUAUUAAAAACAAAUAAACAAA